rnacentral:misc_RNA from 1 species
CAGUUCCCAAUCUGGCAGUGCCACCGCUACACGACAUCGAGCGAGCAGCGUAUAUUGGAUAAGCGCAGAAGAUUUUAUUUUCCCAUUGUCCCAUCCAACUUCUACUAACCCAGCUGAUUCUGAUCUGAUCACCUUCUUUCCUUUCUUUCCCCUUUACAAAUAAACUCUUUCCUCCACUUACAUCUCUACAAGCAAUUGAAUUUUGUUCCCUCAUCUUUUAAUUGCUAAUCACAAUCAAUCUUUUCACAAGUUUCAUUCCAUGUCUCCUUCUUCAGAUUCUAUAAACCCGCGAGAUGUUUGUAUCGUGGGUGUUGCUCGUACGCCUAUGGGUGGUUUUCUUGGUUCACUUUCUUCCUUCUCAGCUACAAAACUCGGUUCCAUAGCUAUUCAGGCUGCUAUUAAAAGGGCAAACGUCGAUCCAUCUCUUGUCCAAGAGGUCUUCUUUGGCAAUGUUCUCAGUGCUAAUUUAGGACAAGCUCCUGCAAGGCAGGCUGCUUUAGGUGCGGGUAUACCCAAUUCAGUGAUUUGUACCACCAUUAAUAAAGUUUGUGCAUCGGGGAUGAAAGCUACUAUGCUUGCUGCACUGACUAUUCAAGUGGGUAUCAAUGAUAUUGUUGUGGCUGGUGGAAUGGAAAGCAUGUCUAACGCGCCCAAAUAUCUUGCAGAAGCAAGAAGGGGAUCUCGACUAGGACAUGAUACCAUUACUGAUGGCAUGCUGAAAGAUGGCCUGUGGGAUGUAUAUAAUGACUUUGGAAUGGGAGUUUGUGCAGAAAUAUGUGCUGAUCAACAUAAUAUUACAAGAGAAGAACAGGAUUCUUAUGCCAUUCGGGGCUUUGAACGUGGAAAUUCUGCACAAAAUGGUGGUGUUUUUUCCUGGGAAAUAGUUCCUGUUGAAGUUUCUGGGGGACGAGGGAAAUCAGUUAUGGUUGUUGACAAGGACGAAGGUUUAAUAAAGUUUGAUGCUGCCAAACUGAGGAAACUCAGACCAAGUUUCAAGAAUGGUGGUUCGGUUACAGCUGGAAAUGCUUCUAUCAUAAGUGAUGGUGCAGCUGCAUUAGUCCUGGUGAGCGGAGAAAAGGCAAUUGAGCUUGGAUUGCAAGUGAUUGCUAGGAUAAGAGGAUAUGGUGAUGCUGCUCAGGCCCCUGAGUUAUUUACAACAGCACCAGCACUUGCGAUACCAAAAGCUAUUUCAAAUGCUGGGUUGGAGGCUUCCCAGAUUGAUUAUUAUGAAAUAAAUGAAGCAUUUUCUGUUGUGGCCCUUGCCAAUCAAAAGAUACUUGGUCUUAAUCCUGAAAAAUUAAAUGUUCAUGGAGGAGCUGUAUCUUUGGGACAUCCAUUAGGAUGUAGUGGAGCUCGUAUCUUGGUCACAUUAUUAGGGGUACUUAGACAUAAAAAUGGUAAGUAUGGGGUUGCUAGCAUUUGCAAUGGAGGAGGAGGGGCAUCUGCCCUUGUUCUUGAGCUCAUGUCAGUUGGAAGGGUGGGACGUUCGUUGUUAUGAUCAAAUUGGUCACUCUAACAUCAGCAUCCUACUGCAUUAAGGUAAGCCCUGAUGUUGUUUCUCCUAAACCUGUUAGUUUUUGUUUCGUUUCCAUCAUUGUUAGAAUUUAUCACCUGAUAUUCUGGAUGGCAGGUUUGUUAGAUAAUGGAUCUAACUGAAGAUUAUCUGUGAUCGGUGAUCUGUUUAUGAUAUAUAUGUGGGAAGAAGGGGGAAUAAUGGAAUAGACAAAAAGAGUAUAGUCAUAUUGUAUCAUAACAACGAAGGAAUAAAUUUAAUUGGUUAUUAAAAAUCAAUAUUUUAAAAUAUUAAAUAAUUACGUUUAUACAUGUAGUAGUAGGAACUUAAUAGAAUUUUCACUUGGUAGUAUUUGCAUGAGAUUGUACGUAUUCUUGCCCUGAAUAAUAAAUGUUCUUACAUAUAAGAAUUGGGAAAAUUGUAAUUAAACAUC